ACGCUCGACACCUACGGGAGGCAGCAGUGGGGAAUAUUGCACAAUGGGGGAAACCCUGAUGCAGCGACGCCGCGUGGAGGAGAAGGUACUUCGGUAGUUGUAAACUACCUCGUUGUUGGGGAAAAAGAAGGAUGGGUACCCGAAACCAAGGAAGGUACGACGGCUAACUAACGUGUCGAGACAGCCGCCGGUAAUACUCGAGGACGGGCCGUGGCGAAGGGCGNNNG
rnacentral:rRNA from 1 species